CGCGCGCCCGCCACCGCUGGGGGCUCCAGCCGCCCGCCGACCCGGGCCUGGCAGAGGGGACGCGGCGCCCAAGCCGCUCCUCCGGAUGGCGACAGAGACGGCCUGACGCGCCCGCAGCCUGGGCCCCCCACGGGGAGGACGGCCGGGCCAGGUGAAGUUCGCGCACUUGGGCCUUCCGCGCCCCCAUCCACCGCAGCCAGGGCCUGGAAGGCUGGGGAGGGGGCGGGGGCGGCAGACGCCUCCUAAGGUACAACUUGAGCUCUCAUCUACAUAACUGAAGGCUGCACCCAGGGCUGUAAAGAGUGAAAAUGCAUUGCCGAAGCAUGAGCACCUCCUGCAGUUCUCAGUAGACAUUUGGGAAGCGAGUGAACCGCCCUGUAUGGAGUGUUUGGAGGAGGUCGGAGGGUGUCGGGCCUGAGCCAGGGGCUGCCCUGGGCCUGUGUCGGGUGGCGCAUGCCAGAGGAAUGAGAUGGGAAGGGCAUGCACGCGGGGUCUUGGCAGCCCUGGAGCUGGCCUAGAUGCAGCAGCUUUCUGAUAAAGCGAAAUUGUUCCAUCGGCUUGCCAUGCUUUGCUUAGCCAUCCGCACUUCACUGUUGGGCGAAAGAAGAUUUUAAAGAACACCCUUAGCAGAUGUCAGAGUUUGGGAUUUGGGGUCCAUGAUACCCAAAUAAGAUUCCACUUGAAGAAAGUAACACGAAUUGCUUUCAACACAUCAAUCAACAAAGAGCAUUGAUGGAUGAAGAGGACAUUGAUAAAUGGGAUGUCUUUUUGCUGAAACUCUAACUUACAGUAAAGGGGGGAAACUCACAGAAGCCCAGUGGAAGCUUCUGGAGCCAGGAGCUACACUGACUCUCUCCGCAGAGGGUGUGGAGGGGUAGGCGGCAGUCAGCCCCCAGCCCAGAGUGGAGGGCACCUGGGCACAUGUGUGAUCAGAGCCCACAUGGAGGGAGGCCAGGGUCCAGCUUCCCUUCACUCUGGGAACAUGGGAGGCCCUGUCCCCAGGCCAUGGCACACAGAGGGAGGAGCAGGAGCUCUGGCAGCCUCAGAGGUGUGUGCCAGGCCGCAGCCUAUUGGAAAUUCCUCAGGAGUGCAUGGCCUGGGGUCCCCCAGCCUGCGGGAGGCAGAGGGGGCGAGGCCAGGUCCCCCGGCCUGUGGGAGGCAGAGGGGGCGAGGCCACGUCCACCAGUCCGAAGCCUGUCCUGCCCAGCUUGCUGUGUGACUCUGGCCUCGGGGGGAACAUUAUCUGAAAUGUACAUAGUGGAAUCCAGGCAGUGUUCACCCCUUCCCUCUGUGCCCUCCGUGGUCUUCUGUGACCUGGGAUUUGUUGGUCAUUGGCAGAAACAGAAGAUGCAUUAUUAUUACUGUAAAAGGUAAAGUUGUCCCCUAACUGGCUCAACUGUCCGAAGACCCCCCUGCUUUUUCUGCUUUUCCUUGUGACUCAGCCUGGUCUUUCUUCUUCCAGGGUGGCAUCCCACUGACUCCUACGCAGCCCCACCCUGGUUCCCUCACUCCCAGGUUCCUGGUCCCUCAGGGUCCUAGGGCUGAGUCCUCCAUAGCCCCCACACACAGCCCAGAGCUGGGACUGACCCACGGCAUAGGACAAACUCCUCCAGGCCUCUGAGAGAACUCCUGGGCUUUCAUCUACAUGAUUCAGAAAGAAUCUUUUUUCUCUUUCAAAUGUUAAUGUUUUUAAUUUCCUUUUUUUUUUCAUUUUUCAUUAUAACUGCUAAGAUUUUUCUAAUUGGCAUGCCAACUGCUUGCAGACUUGACCUGUUUCUUGCAAAAAAAGAAAAUCGCUUAAUCAUUAAAUACAAUUAUUACUUCAUUCUUCUAUCUCUUCAGUCUACCAAACUAUUAUAUACUCUUGAUGAUUGUCAUUUUCGUCAAAAGAAAACUGUAUCCAG
rnacentral:lncRNA from 10 species